ACUUCUUUUUCUUAAACGCAGAUGGAAAGAAUCCCAAGAGACUAGUGAAGCAAGAAAUUAUCAAAGCCGCGGUAUUUGCUAAGUCACUUUGUGCCAGUGCCCGGCAAGCUGCCACCGUGGCUGCCAAGCCCCAGCGCCCUCGCCGACCGGUGCCGAGGGGGCUCUCCGCCCUGGGCUGGAGGAAGCAGGAAGUUUGCUGAACCCUGGACAGAAGAAAAAGGACUCAUUCUGGAGAGUCCCAGCAGGUAACCACAUCUGGCUUCGAGUGUCCUACAGCCACAGCUUUGACCCUUUUCUAACCCUCUGGCUGAUCAAGGCAGCAGCUCAGUCCUGAAUGUGAGCUCCUGGGCAGCCACCAGCCAGUGGCUGCAGCUUGGUAUUGGAGCACCUGCUUCAUGCCAGACACUCUUCUAGGAGCUGGGAACACAGCUGUGAACAAACAUAAAAUCACUGCCUCCGUAGAGCUUGCAUUCUAGGCAAUUCUAACAUUUCCAAGGACAGUUGUAACAGGGCUGAUGCCAGGCUCUGAAGCCCUUCUGUUCACAGAUUCUUCCAUUAUUGCCACAGACCCUCCAAUAGUGGUGGGCUCUGUUUCCUCCUCCCUUUGCAUGGUUCUCCUUCCUUAAACCAUUCCCCUUUAAUGGAGGGGAAUUAAAGCAAAAUGACGAUUGUGUUUAGAAGGAAGAAAUAGGAUGCUUUGUUCCAUGAGAAAUCAGAUAAGUUGACGCCUUAUAAAUCUCUUCUCUAAAAUGCGACCCACAUGAAUUAAAUAAAGUUGCUUUUGCCUUGUG